ACAACGGAGAGUUUGAUCCUGGCUCAGGACAAACGCUGGCGGUGUGCCUCAUACAUGCAAGUCGAACGAGAAGCGAGAGCUUGCUCUCGUGGAAAGUGGCGGACGGGUGAGUAUAACAUAGGAAAUCUGCCUUUGGGUGGGGGACAACAGAGGGAAACUUCUGCUAAUACCCCAUAUGAGCUUAGCUGAAAUGCUAAUCUUGAAAGUUCCGGCGCCCAAAGAUGAGCCUGUGCCUGAUUAGCUAGUUGGUGGUGUAAUGGACUACCAAGGCGACGAUCAGUAGCUGGU
rnacentral:rRNA from 1 species